rnacentral:tRNA from 1 species
GAACAUAUAGCCCUGUGAUAGAGUGCAUGCUUUACAUGCAUGAUGUCCUGGGUUCAAUCCCCAGUGUUUCCA